UACGUAGGGGGCAAGCGUUGUCCGGAUUUAUUGGGCGUAAAGAGCUCGUAGGCGGUCUGUCGCGUCUGCUGUGAAAACUCGGGGCUUAACCCCGGGCCUGCAGUGGGUACGGGCAGACUAGAGUGCGGUAGGGGAGACUGGAAUUCCUGGUGUAGCGGUGAAAUGCGCAGAUAUCAGGAGGAACACCAACGGCGAAGGCAGCACUCUGGGCCGGAACUGACGCUGAGGAGCGAAAGCGUGGGUAGCGAACAGG
rnacentral:rRNA from 1 species